GCCGGCAUAGCUCAGUGGUAGAGCAACCGCCUUGUAAGCGGUAGGUCGUCUGUUCGAGUCAGACUGUCGGCA
rfam:Betaproteobacteria bacterium RIFCSPLOWO2_12_FTLL_62_13 rifcsplowo2_12_scaffold_16250, whole genome shotgun sequence.